UAGUCUCUAGACGAUGAUCAACUAGACCUCAGUUUAACCAAGACUGAUGGCAGGCACGAGCUUCCUCUGAUUCCCGGAUAAUCUGGGGGCUCCUGACAGCACCUCAGAACAGCACUGACAGCAGCCGCCCUUCCUUCCUGCUGUGGUUUCACUGUCUAAACAACCUUUCCUGCUUUUCCGUUAUUUUCUCUGGUUUUGGGGGGCUUUGAACCCUGCCGUAUCAGCACUCCUGGAAGAACAGAGAACAGAGAGACUGCAGCUCGGUUGCUGGAAUCCAAGGCAACCACAGACAGGACCAGCCCUUGCGGUGAAGACAGAACCGUGCAGUUUCAGCAGGCGGUAUUACCCUGAGGACUACCAGCCCUGGCCUGGAGUUAGGAGACAACCAGAAAGAGGGGCUUAGAGGCUGCAGAGCAGCCUGGCUUCCCCACUCUUACUUGCACAAGGUACUCUUCUGUCCUCGCAACUCCACACCUACAGUUGGCACAAGCUCUACCCUCCGCCUUCCGUCUUCCCUACCACUGCAGCCAUCUUGGGGCUUGUCUCCAGAGCCUGCCUGUGUGUCGGUAAACCGGUGAGAGAAACGCAAGGCAGUCCAACCCGGCACCUAAACUUAGAAUCGAAGAUAUAGACGGACGUUUGCAAGUGAGUUAUAGGUCACGAGGCUACUGAAGGGACUAUGACAGGAGGAGGAAGGCUUAAAGCGGCGAGAAGUGGAGGAGCUAAGGAAAACACGUGACAAGGGCAGCAAAACUCAUUGUGAUGGUUUGUAUAUGCUUGGCUCAAGGAGCGGCACUAUUAGGAGGUGUGGCCUUGUUGGAGUAGGUGUGUCACUGUGGGCUUAAGACACUUAUCCCAGCUUCCUGGAAGUCGGUCUUCCACUAGCAGCCCUCAGAUGAAGAUGUAGAACUCUCAGCUCCUCCUGCACCAUGCCGGCCUGAGUGCUGCCAUGUUCCUGUCUUGAUCAUACUGGACCGAACCUCUGAACUUUUAAGCCAGCCCCAAUUAAAUGUUUUCCUUAUAAGAGUUGCCUUGGUCAUGGUGCCUGUUCACAGCAGUAAAACCCUAACUAAGAUGCACCCUCAGUUCCAGUUGACAGCCCAGGACUGAAGGGGUCAUGCAAAGGAUUUAAGGCUCGGCACCAUGGAGAGAGUCUAUGAGUGACUGGUAGUGAAGCCUAGUUGCAACAGAAGACCCCAGUGUAUUGGAGAUGCCAAUACCAUGAGAUGAUAACCAAGACCAGCAGCAGCAGCAGUGGAAAUGAGUCAACCAGAGCCUAGAGUGCAACAGAGGGCAGUCCUGGAGAAGUGACAGCAGCCCUUUGGAGUCACCCAGAAGAUUGUGAGUGGAUCCCAGACAUUGAAUUUGACUUUGCUUUUGAUUGUGCCCUGAUAUCUCCCCUCUUGAAGUAAGAAAGUAUUUUAGCAGAGCCGACAGUUAAGAGACUUUGAAUUGUAAAAAGACUUUGAGUUUUAAAAGAUAUUGGAUUAUUUUAAAGGGGUUGAAAUUUUAAUAUGUAAAGACUGUGGGACUUUUACAUUUUUUUAGUUCUUGGGGAUGAAUAAGAAAGAAAGUAAGGCUUGAGGCUGAAUAGUGAUGUGUUUGUGUGUCAAGUUGACAAGGGGCCAGUUGUACUUUCUGGUUUUGUGUGUCAGUUUGACACAAGCUGGAGUUACCACAGAAAAAGGAGCCUCCUUUGAGGAAAUACCUCCAUGAGACCCAGCUAUAAGGCAUUUUCUCAAUUAGUGAUCAAGGGGGGAGGACCCAGCCCAUUGUGGGUGGUGCCGUCCUUGGGCUGGUGAUCCUGGUUCUAUAAGAAAGCAAGCUGAGCAAGCCAGGGGAGCAAGCCAGUAAGCAGCAUCCCUCCAUGGCCUCUGCAUCAGCUCCUGCUUCCUGACCUGCUUGAGUUCCAGUCCUGACUUCCUUUGGUGAUGAACAGCAGUGUGGAAGUGUAAGCUGAAUAAACCCUUUCCUCCCCGACUUGCUUCUUGGUCGUGAUGUUUGUGCAGGAGUAGAAACCCUGACUAAGACAGUGCUUCAUUUGGAGAAAGGAAAAGGCCACGUAUCCAGCAGAUAAGUCAAUGGCACAUCCUGCCCACGUCUACCUCCAUCCCUCACCAUCCUCAGAAUUACCGAAA